rnacentral:lncRNA from 10 species
GAACAACUUGGCCAACACAGCGAGAUUUUGUCUCUUAAAAAGAAAGAAAGCAAGAAAAAAAGAGUCCAGGUAGAUGUGUAGUUGAAAAUGGCCUAGGCUGUUCAUGUUUAAUGCUGUGAUGCUUAGCUGGCACAUAAAGCAUCUAUUGAGGUAUAGGAGAAUGAAAUGGAGCUAAGAAUUAUUUUUGUUAUUGUUGUUUGAUGAUAUUGGAUGUUAAAUUGUGACAUUUAAAAUUAUUACAGCAGUUAAUAGCCUAGCCAUCAGUGACUAGCUUGACUUGAUUAGAGCUUUGAUUAUGGGGGAAAGAAAGAGACUGAAGUGAAGCCGAUCUGAAUUCAAAUUCCAGUUAGGAAGAUGUUACAGAGUUCAGGAGGGGUUAUGCAAUGCGGAAAUAACGAUGACAAUAGAAAAGAAAAAGAGAGGACAGAAAAGAGAAGGGCUGUAGAGGGAGAAUAUUACAACAAUUGAUUGAAUUGUGAGGAGAGAAAGGGAGGACAGAAAAGAAUCAAAGAUAAAUUCAAGGUUACGUUUCCAGUCUGGGCGCACAGAAGUAGAGAUGUCAGGGUCCAGAUUAGUAAAGACAAGGUAGGUUUACUCAUAACUGGUCUGAAGGGUGAGGAAAAGGACACCUAGAUAGAGGUGACCAAAUGACAGGAAAAUACUAUCCCGCUGAAGGAGGAAUAAGAGAUCUAAGGUACAACCUAAGGACCAAGUUAAUAAAAUUGUAUUGUGUUAGGG